rnacentral:rRNA from 1 species
UGCCAGCAGCCGCGGUAAUACGAAGGGGGCUAGCGUUGUUCGGAAUCACUGGGCGUAAAGAGCGUGUAGGCGGAUAUGCAAGCUAGAGGUGAAAUCCCGGGGCUUAACCUCGAAACUGCCUUUAGAACUGCAUAUCUAGUAUCUCGGAGGGGAUGGGGGAAUUCCUAAUGUAGAGGUGAAAUUCGUAGAUAUUAGGAGGAACACCAGUGGCGAAGGCGCCCAUCUGGACGAGUAUAGACGCUGAGACGCGAAAGCGUGGGGAGCAAACGGGAUUAGAUA